AGGGCUGUUUUUCUUCCCAAGGUGGGAGUGGGGUGGUAAGGAGCCUGCUACCUGUCCACUGCAUAGGUCUGUACUCUGAAGGGAACUGCUUAAUUCAGUUUCAGACUCAUCACCAAGACCACUGAGAUACUCUGUAAGUUUAGGAAUGGCACAAAAGAAACUUCGGUGGUUUGCUUUGAGUUUGUUAUUUUGGUAAAGCAUGUCUGAGAUGAGAAAAGGCAGGUAUGUGUAGUUGGCUGAUUUUCUUUUUGGAGAUUAGAUCUUACCAUGCAGCCCUGGCCCAGAACUCACUCUGUAGAUCAAAGAUCCAAGCAGAUCUGUUGUGUUUCAGGCCAGCCAGGGUUACGUGGUGAAAUCCUCACCCCCAAAAGGAAGGAUUUUGAUUCCACCCUUCCCUGUGGUGUGUACUUUACAACUCUGUUCUCGUGCUGUCGUGUCUGGAGGAAUAAGCAUGGCAUCUGGGACCCUCAGGCUGACUGUCCCUUCUUAGCGUUAUUCUGCCCAUUUCCACAUUCCUCCCAGGGAAGGCAGUGCUUUGUUAUCCAAGCUGGUAUAUGGUUAAAUGGGAGAGAGGUGAGUUAGGGCCACAGUAGACAUUCACUCACUGACAGGAAAGAGACUGUGUUAGGUAGGGUGGAUCCAAGGUGCCUUCAGAGAGCAGUGUGGUUGGAGCUGAACAGGGGAUGGACAGGGUUAGGAGCAGCCCUGGGAAUCUGUCCUGAAGGACUCUUUGUGGACCCUGUCACAGGCUCAGGAGCCCUGGAGUGGUCAGGCAGGAAGCCUUCAGGUCCUGACGACCACCUCAGCUUUCUUCUCACAGCCGGGGACUCAGACCCAGGCCCAGACAUACAGCGGAGGCUUUGCUUGACUUACACAGCCCGCUGGGUAUCAGAGAACAUGGGUGUGUAUCCCAGUGGAUAUGAGAGAAGCCUUCCUAUCUACUUUUAUUGACAUUUGGGCAGAUAGCAGCAUUGAAAUUUAUGCUCUUUAAAAUAAACUAUAAUGUAUAUUGUUCAUAAAUAAGGAAGUCAGCCAAUCGUGGUGGUUCAAACCCAUGAUCUCAGCACUUGAGAGGUAGAAGCAGAAGGCUUAGGAAUUCAAAGUCAUCCUGAGCUACAAUGGAUCCUAAGCUAGCCUGGAAUAUGUGAGAGCCUAGAUGAGGCGGGUGGGAUGGAGUAUAACAAAAACAGAACAUUUUCUAAGGCUCCUGAGAUCUUGGAAACUGUUGAGUUGUUUGAGUCCCACUUAGAGAUGACUAAGAAGAGCAGUCAUUCAUACUUAGAGACUGCUAAGAUGGAUGGCCAUCAUACCUUUGCGGCCAGUGGUCUCUCUUUUGUUUCAUUAUCUUUGUUCUCAUUCAAGAAAUAACAUUUCUAUCAACUCCAGAGGUUUCAGUUCUGCUGUGUUGUGUUGUGUUUAGCUAGGUUCUCCCUGUGUAGUCUUGGAUGUCCUGGACUUCACAGGUUAACUCUGCCUCUGUCCCACAAGUGCUGAGCUUGGAGGUGUGCACUACUGUGCCUGGCUACUCACAGAGAUUUUGAGAGGGUUUGGACAGGAGUAACCUUCCACAGUACGACACUAUUCUUUAUUAUUUCACUCUUACCUCUUUCAGCAUAAGGCCCUAGUUCUAUCCCUAGCACCCUAUAAACCAGGAAUGAUGGCACACACCUGCCAUCCAGCACCACAAGGUAGAGGGGAGAGGAUUGGAAGGUUAGAGUCAUCCUUGGGUUACUUAGUUCAAGGCCAACCUGGGAGAUUUAACACACACACACACACACACACACACACACACACACACACGCACGCACGCGCGCACGCGCGCACGCGGCUGGGAGUGAGUGAUAGAUAGGUCCAAAAGGAUCUCCGUUCUCCUGACAGUCUUGGCUCAGCUCAAGUCUGACCUUAGAAAGACUGCUGUGGAAGAUAGAAAAGCUCACUCACACAGCAUCCCUGCCUGCCAGAGAGGGCCACUUCCCUUGCCUUUGUAGUUACAAAAGCCCGAAGCUAAGUAAGUGCCAGGUUCCUCCAGUCCCUAGAAACAUGGCUAUUCUUUCUCCCCUCCCCCCCCACUAUGCUAGCUCGAAGGCAGCAAGCACCCCCACACACACUCACAGAGAGAGAGAGAGACAGAGAGAGAGAGACAGAGACA